GAGAAAAAUUUAUUGAGUCUGAUAAAGUAGAAACUGGGGAUCUGAUGGAUAAAUUUAUGAGCAUGAAAUAUGAUGGCACAAAUGGUGUUAGGGAGCAUGUCAUGAAAAUGAUAAAUAUAUCAUCUAAGUUAAAGGCUCUUGACAUUCCCAUUGCGGAGCCUUUCCUAGUCUAUCAUGUUUUGAAUAGCCUUCCUAGCAAGUUUAAUCAGCUUAAGGUUGCUUACAAUGCUCAGCGGGAUAAGUGGAAUUUGAAUGACCUCGUAGCAGUGUGUGCCCAAGAAGAGUAUAGAAUGCGUCGUGAAACUAUUGAAACUGUGCAAUUAGCUUUUCAGCCAUCACAGAAUAAGAGGCCUUCUCAUAAUCAUAAACCUAAAUUUCGUAAGAGUAACAAGUCUCAUCGAAGUCAACAAAAUAAUAAUUUUAGUGGUCCCAAAGUAGUUAUAAAGAAAAAUGAUCAAUGCAAGUUCUGUAAAAAGAAGGGUCACUAGCAGAAAGACUAUUUUAAGUUCAAGACUUGGUUGGAAAAGAAGAAGAGUUCUUCAGGUAUUCCCUUGGCCUUAGUUUGUUUUGAGUCUUCUUUAGUAGGUGUACCUUUGAAUUCUUGGUGGUUAGACUCGGGAGCUAGUAUUCAUAUUGCGAAUUUCUUGCAGGUGUUCAUAAGCAAACAGAGGCCAAGUGAGAAUGAAGUAAGCUUGAGCGUUG
rnacentral:lncRNA from 1 species